GACGAACGCUGGCGGCGUGCCUAAUACAUGCAAGUAGAACGCUGAAGAGAGGAGCUUGCUCUUCUUGGAUGAGUUGCGAACGGGUGAGUAACGCGUAGGUAACCUGCCUUGUAGCGGGGGAUAACUAUUGGAAACGAUAGCUAAUACCGCAUAACAAUGGAUGACACAUGUCAUUUAUUUGAAAGGGGCAAUUGCUCCACUACAAGAUGGACCUGCGUUGUAUUAGCUAGUAGGUGAGGUAAUGGCUCACCUAGGCGACGAUACAUAGCCGACCUGAGAGGGUGAUCGGCCACACUGGGACUGAGACACGGCCCAGACUCCUACGGGAGGCAGCAGUAGGGAAUCUUCGGCAAUGGGGGCAACCCUGACCGAGCAACGCCGCGUGAGUGAAGAAGGUUUUCGGAUCGUAAAGCUCUGUUGUAAGUCAAGAACGGGUGUGAGAGUGGAAAGUUCACACUGUGGCGGUAGCUUACCAGAAAGAGACGGCUAACUACGUG
rnacentral:rRNA from 1 species